GCAGUCGUGGCCGAGUGGUUAAGACGAUGGACUGGAAAUCCAUUGAGGUCUGUCUCCCCGCACGCGUUCGAAUCCUGUCGGCUGCG
rnacentral:tRNA from 2 species